GCCUUUUCAACAAACAGCCAUUGAAUACAAAUGAGGUCACCAGCAGGCAAAGAAUUCCAACCACAGUGAACCCAGUCUGAGGAAAGAAAAGAAGGCAAAAUUGCCCCCAAAGUAAAAUAAAGGGGAAAAGACUCCGAGAGAGUUGCAGCACCGCACAGAGCUGGGAUUUACUCAAGCCAAAAGCUGAUCACCGAUCUGGGAGCUAAAGAGAGCAGCUGAGCACUAUUAAGCACUAACAAGCUCCUGCAAGCUAUUCUCAGCAUUCACUUCUCUGUUACUACAGAAAUGCUUUGGGAACACAAAACCUUCCUCCUCUGUGUUUUGUUGGUCUGUGUUGCAUCACUGGUGGUGGGCCUUUUAGAUGAAAGGCAGGAAGAUGAUCAGUGCGCUGAUCUCCACAAUACCACAUGGCGGGAGUACCAGCAGCAAAGAGUCAGACUGCAGGUCCAGUAUCUGCUGCUGACCAGGAAAAACAUGGACUGCGCACAAACAUUCAACCAGACGUCCCUCACUGAGCAGACCUCCUACUUCAAUCCCUCCCGUCCCACAAAGGUUAUCAUCCACGGG